AGAUGUGAAGGCAAUCUAGCUGUGACAUCUGUCACCCUAUUGAUUCAGCUGAUCUGGCUGGCUAGGCAGGUGUCCUUUUCCUGCCUCAGUGCUCCACUUGUGUCCUUUCCAAAGUUGUGUGCUCAAUCGAAGAGGAGAAGAGAACAAUCUUUCUCAAUAGAGGACUGGUCUUUGGUCAAAGGCAUGUGAGUGGCUGCGCUCCCCUGCUAGAAUGUCCAGACAAGCUCUUAU
rnacentral:sRNA from 1 species